rnacentral:rRNA from 1 species
UACGUAGGGGCCUAGCGUUGUCCGGAUUUAUUGGGCGUAAAGAGCUCGUAGGCGGUUUGUCGCGUCGUCUGUGAAAACCCACGGCUCAACUGUGGGCUUGCAGUCGAUACGGGCAGGCUAGAGUUCGGUAGGGGAGACUGGAAUUCCUGGUGUAGCGGUGAAAUGCGCAGAUAUCAGGAGGAACACCGGUGGCGAAGGCGGGUCUCUGGGCCGAUACUGACGCUGAGGAGCGAAAGCGUGGGGAGCGAACAGG